rnacentral:rRNA from 1 species
GGGCCCGCACAAGCAGCGGAGCAUGUGGUUUAAUUCGAAGCAACGCGAAGAACCUUACCAGGGCUUGACAUCCCCCUGACCGGUCUAGAGAUAGGCCUUUCUCUUUGGAGACAGGGGAGACAGGUGGUGCAUGGUUGUCGUCAGCUCGUGUCGUGAGAUGUUGGGUUAAGUCCCGCAACGAGCGCAACCCCUAUCAUUAGUUGCCAGCACCUAAGGGUGGGGACUCUAAUGAGACUGCCGGGGAGAACCCGGAGGAAGGUGGGGAUGACGUCAAAUCAUCAUGCCCCUUAUGCCCUGGGCUACACACGUGCUACAAUGGCCAGUACAGAGGGAAGCGAAGCGGUAACGCGGAGCAAAUCCCAGAAAGCUGGUCCCAGUUCGGAUUGUGGGCUGCAACUCGCCCACAUGAAGGCGGAGUUGCUAGUAAUCGCGAAUCAGCAUGUCGCGGUGAAUACGUUCCCGGGCCUU